GCUUCGGUGGCCUAGUGGUUAGAGCAUCUGCCUCGGAUGCGAGAGGUCGCGGGUUCGAACUCCGUCCUAAUCA